rnacentral:siRNA from 1 species
GCUGUUAACUGAUUGGUCGUAGG